GAUGAAGAACGUAGCGAAAUGCGAUAAGUAAUGUGAAUUGCAGAAUUCAGUGAAUCAUCGAAUCUUUGAACGCACAUUGCGCCCGCCAGUAUUCUGGCGGGCAAGCCUGUUCGAGCGUCAUUACAACCCUCAGGCCCCCGGGCCUGGCGUUGGGGAUCGGCGGAGCCCCCCGUGGGCACACGCCGUCCCCCAAAUACAGUGGCGGUCCCGCCGCAGCUUCCAUCGCGUAGUAGCUAACACCUCGCGACUGGAGAGCGGCGCGGCCACGCCGUAAAACACCCAACUCUUCUGAAGUUGACCUCGAAUCAGGUAGGAAUACCCGCUGAACUUAAGCAUAUCAAUAAGCGGAGGA
rnacentral:misc_RNA from 1 species